UUUUUUUUUUUUUAGGUUUUUUAAUAUCCAGAGGUAGCAAUAUUAGGUUUUGGUAUUCUAGUACAUAUUUUUUUGUGCAUUAAAGAAGUAAUGUUUUGUUAGAAUAAUACCAUUAUUUUGGCACUAAAAACCUGAAACUUGGAUCAUUCACAUUUUAAGGCAUACCCAGGAUGAACCUUUUAAAAUCAAAUAAAGUUUAGAAAAUGUUUUUCUCUGCUUGCAUAACCAUCAUAAGGAGGAAGAAAUAUGCUAAUCACCAAAACAAAAAAUUUCUUUUGCAACAAAAUGUGUGCAAUCAUAGUCCACUUCAAAGAUUUAUAAACUAGUGGACGGUGUGACCACAUUAAAAUUAUACAAAUAACUCUGCAUCAGAGUCUCUAAUAUGAUAACUGAUGACUACAAAGUUAAACUAGAAAUGCUUUUUCUUGAAAUUAAAUUAUAUCUUGCUAUUAAUCAAAUGCUACAGUAGUAGUAUAGCUGUUUUGAUAUUAAAUAAAAUAGUGAUUUAUGGUACUAUUAUUUUCUCUGAAUUAUAACCAAUACAUGUGCUGACCAGUUGUGGCUCAUUUGAAUGAAUGGAUACAUCAUGUAAAAGUGAGAUUUAUUAGGAUGACGUUAGUCGUGUGAAUUUUUUUCCAUCUUUUCCUGCUGAUGAUUAUAUAUAUGUCAGAUGUUCACUUCUUUAAUGAGUUCACAUACUUUCACCUAAGUGGCUUAUUCUAGAUAAGUAUUCUGGUUGGCUUUCCUAAACCUUGAAUGAAAUUUUGCAAUUUCUAUUUCCCUAGACAUGUUUUCCUACCAUCUAUCUGAAUAACUGAAAUACAUAUAAAGUGUGUUUUUGUAUGGAUGUGCUUUCAAUAUCCAGCAAUCCAUUUUCUUUUUGAAAUUCACACAAAAUUGUGUCAUUUUUUUCAAAGUCCUUUACUAGGUAUUUCAGGUUGUGAGAAUGGUACAUGGUAUCAAACCCUACUAAUUUGCUUCAUGAAAAUGACAUGUAUAUGAUAAAGCAUACUACCUAAAAGAUAGUCAUUAUUAGGGAGAGAAUGCAGUUGCAUUUGUGGAAAAAAGGGGCUAAAUCUUGGAGUACACAGAUUCUAGAUUUUCUGACUGCCAAUCAGCUGCUCAGCUGAGCUGCUCUGUACUUCAGCCUUUGUCUUUGAACUACAGAGCUCACUCAUGACAGCUUUAGACCAACUCCAGGGAUGACUGUUAGCACUUGCUAGAAGAGAAUAGACUCUUUGAUAUUUUUGAGUGGAUUUUGGUGCUUAUGAAUACUCCAUUCUACUUUCAUUGUGAUUACUACAUUUUGUAAUUUACUUUAUACAUCUGCAAUACAUUAGUUAUUUUGCUUAAAAAUGUUAGCAUUGUUUAUAGCUGAAAUAGAAAAACUAAGGUCCAAAUAAACAGCUCUUAUUAAGUAGAGUAUAUAAAGCAACUACCACUGUGAUUUUUUUUUUCAAAUAUGAAAAUCUCAAAGGGUUGCCUCCAAAUUUUCAGAGCAAAAAGUGAUACUGAGCAAAAAUUAGCAAAGCACAAAAAAUGUAAUCUUAACAGCAUAUGAAAAUUGCAUUACAUUUAAUAGGAGUGUUUCAAUAGAGGCUGUCUAAUAAAUCAGGCUAAACUCUCAGUUAGCAUUAAAUAUUUUAUAUACGCAAAUGAAACACAUCUGAGGCUAAUUUGACAUCAACAUCAUCAAUAAGGAAACAGUCAAUAGAUACAAUUAUUUAACAUUUGCAGUGAUAUUGUAGGGGUAAACUUCUUCAUCAUAGGUUUUUUAAAUUGCCUUCUUUAACCCCAUCAAUGACAUUAAAAUAAUCAUUUAUAAUUGAGCAAUAGGAAAGUACUAGACCACCUAUAACUCAAAGAGAGGUUAUGCCUCCUGGGAAUAAGUCCAUUGUAGUGUUGACACUGAGUCUAUAUAAGAGACUUAAAUACUGCACAUUGAUGAUGGUCUUCUUAGGGAAAAAGUGGGCCCCUGUCUUAUGAAAGGCAGAGGUCAAUUGUGGCUAUUUUCACAGAUUAAUAUAAAGAUAUUUUCACUUCUUCAAAUGAUCUUAAAAUGUUCUACAGGAAAAAGCCACUUUAUGGAUCUAAAAUUACCCAUAAGUGUCUAAACUAUUGCUGAGCUGCUAUGGGGGAAAAAGGUUUUGAGGUUUGGAAUUAAAACCUUUCUGGCUCUGCCAAUUGCUCAGUAUGUGACCUUGGAAGAAAGACCUUGAGGAUGGCAUGAGAAGCACCCAGUUAUGCUGAUGCUCUGAAGGAUCACAGGUGGUAUCUUUGGACGAGUCAGGGCAGGAGGCAGCCAUACUUCCCCUUGUAGAUGAUCAUGGCGUUGAGGGAAAACAAAACUCCUUCUCCUCUCCAGUUGGCAUUGAGGCUUCUACUUGGGGAGCACUGACCUAAUAUACAAAGCUUGGGCAUUUGUUUUGUCAUGGUUAAAACAGGGCUUGCACUUGUAAAUCUCUGAGGUCUCUUUCAGUUCUAAAACUUGAUAACAGCCAUUCUCAUACAUCAGAAUUCAGUCUUUUCUUGGCAUUGGGUCUUUCUACAGACUCUGAGAGCAGACACCAGGUACCAUUAGUGAGUCUUUCUUCCAUGGAGAGGCACUGAUUUCUCUUGGGUGUCUGUUCUUACGGAGACUCGGUGUAGUUCUCUCCAUUCUUUUGCCCGUGGAAUGCUCUCAUCUUGUGUACUUGGAUAUGUUGUAAAUACAUCAUCCUUUGCACGUUUCUUCAAGGUCAUCUGCUAGUAUUCCCAGGAGCAAAUAUUUCAUUUAUAAUAUAUCUGCUUUAAAUUAUUUUUGUAACAAGGUUACAAUAUGUACAUUUUAAAGGUACAAACAUAAGAUGAGUUUUGACCGUAAAGAAAGGAUGAAGGGCUAUAUGAACAGGUGUUAGGUGAAUUGGGGUAUUUUUAAAAGCUUUUAUGUAUUAUAGGCGAGUUCCAAUUUUAUGAGACAUUGCAGAAGUAAAAAUGUCUAUAGGUUCCUUUUCACUGAAAGAAUACAACCUUUUAAAAAUAAUACUUUUAGUGGAGAACGUAAGGUUCAGGUUUGAAGAGGAUAUGUGUAACUAGGAUUAGGAACCAUGCUAAUUUCCAAGGUACUCCAUGAAGGGAAUAUUCUGAAAUCCUAUGUUCAUUGAACUCUACUCUGUGGGAAAUAACCACAGGGAACUAGGGUAUAGAUGAUGGGGGGGUGUAGAAGUUGGUAAAAAUGACUAAGACACUAGCCUUGGCCCCAAGGAGCUUACAGUCCAGCUGGAUGUAUGCAGAAUAAGAAAAUUUUGGGGAUCCUUUUCUGGCUUGGUGGGUUAAGAACCCGACAUAGUGUCCAUGAGGAUGCGGACUGAUCCCUGGCCUCGCUCAGUGGAUUAAGGAUCUGGUGUUACUGCAAGGUGCAGCAUAGGUCUCAGAUGUAGCUUGGAUCCUGUGUUGCUGUGGCUGUGGUAUAGCCUUCAGCUGCAGCGCCAAUUCAACCAGGCCUUAAAAAAAAAAAAAAAAAAAAAGAGCCAAUUUUGAGAAUCUCUACUGGAAUAUGAUUUGACAGUUGUUUGGGGAUAUUUCCUUCUUUUUUGCUUUGUAACCAUUUUAUUUAGCACAUAGAAUUCUAGUGGCAAUUUUUAGAAUGCAAAUUUGAUGUAAGACAUAAUGCCAAAAGAAUGACUUUAAAAAUAAAUGGACUUUGGAGUAACUAGAAGUUAUUAAUGAUAUACAUUUAAAGGGUAUAGAAAUAGACAUGCAGGAAAUAAACUGCUUUUUAAGAAUUGUUGCUGUAAUCAUUAUUUUCUCUUAGAAAUCUUACCAUUGGAAAGUAGAAUAUUCUUAGAUUGUUGAUGACAAAGUAUUACAGAGAUCAUUUAAGAGUUUCCUCUUAGCCAUUUGGUAUUUGUUGUCCUACAGGGUAGAGAGGGGCAGGGAACAAACUCUUAGGUCUAGUUUUGGGAAGCAUGGAAUACUGAAGGGAGCUAAACUAUGAUUCACAAGCCCUGGGUUUUAGACCUACCUCUCCUAGUUAUUUGCCCUUUGUUCUUAAUGUCUCUGAGCCUUGUUUUCUUCUUUGAUAAAAAUGGAAUUAUUAAUCCUGACUUUCUCUAUGUCAUCACAUUACUAUCAGGUUAAAAUGAAAUAUACAAUUGAAAGUUCUCUGAAAGCUUGUGAAAUACUCCAUAGAUGCAAAGAAUUAUGAUAAAGAAAUAGUAACGUGCCAAUUUUUCCAGGCAUUUUGCCUCUCCUUUUAAAAAAAAUAAUAUAUCUUUAAUCUAUGAAUUUAUCUUUUGGAAUGGUAAACCAGUAUUUUUUUGAGCCUGAUGCUCUCUGGUUUCUAGUUGUAUUCUAGAAGAUGCUUGUGUACAAGCAAUUCAAGCAUCAAGGUUAUUAUAAAACAGGUAUAGCUAGACCUAAAGAUAUGACAUGAGGGAAGCCCUACCAUGUGGAAAGGGGAAAAUUUCAUCCCUUAUAUCCUUAGAGGAAUGUGGGAAGAACAGAGGAAGGUGAGGUAGGAUAAGAAAAUCAUGUGGUAAAGUCUUCAUUAUCACUAAUCUUGAGGGAGGGCAGAGAGCUGCUGCAGAACUACUUAGAAAGACAUGAGAAAAUUGGAGAACACCAGAACUAAUGGUUCAGUUUCCCAAGCUUUCUUCUCAGUGCCAUGUGUGAUGUGACUUUGACAAAUAGAGCUACUGCUCUGGCAGAGGGAGGAGUUGGGAUGAGAGUUUUUUUUUUUUUUUUUUUUUUUUUUUUUUUUUUUAGCUUUAUUUUUUUUUAUUACUCAAAUGAAUUUAUCACAUCUAUAGUUGUAUAAUGAUCAUAACAAUCCAAUUUCACAGGUUUUCCAUCCCACAACCCAAGCACAUCCCCCCACCCCCCGAAUUGUCUCCUCUGGAGACCAUAAGUUUUUCAAUGUCUGUGAGUCAGCAUCUGUUCUGCAAAAAAGUUCAGUCUGUCCUUUUUUUCAGAUUCCACAAGUCAGUGAAAGCAUUUGAUGUUGGCGUCUCAUUGUAUGGCUGACUUCACUUAGCAUGAUAAUUUCUAGGUCCAUGUUGCUAAAAAUGCUGGUAUUUCGUUCCUUUUAAUGGCUAAUAUUCCAUUGUGUAUAUGUACCACAUCUUCUUGAUCCACUCCUCUGUCAAUGGACAUUUAGGUUGUUUCCAUGUUUUGGCUAUUGAAAAGAGUGCCACAGUGAACACUGGAGUACAUGUCUUUGCAAGUCAUGGUUUUCUCUGGAUAGAUGCCCAGGAGUGGGAGUGCUGGAUCAAAUGGUAGUUCUAUUUUUAGUUUUCUGAGGAAUCUCCAUACUGUUUUCCACAAAUUUAUAAUCCCACCAACAGUGAAAUAAGAAGAGGUAGUGGCUUACUCAGCAGUUAUCAGCAAUGAGUGCCAUCCUAUGCUGAAAGUCCCAGGAGAACUGGUACUGCAUCUAGGAUUUCAGGGAUGGCUAGGGCUCCUGCAUAGACCCAGGAGGGAAAGAAACAUUGCAGUUUGAGGACACUGCACAGCAUCUUUGGCCUUCUUUGGUCUCUAUCAUGAGAACACAUGACAUCCUUGCUCUUGAUAUGGGUUCCACAGAAGAUGGAAGAGAAACAUACAAAUGUUUAUUCAUCCAAAAAUACUUUCCAAAGGAGGUAAUUUAAAUUAGAAAAUAGAGAAAAUUAAUGGGCAUGUUUUAUAUUUCUUACCACCUCCUCAUCUUACUUCCAUCUAACAGGGCAGAGGCUUUUGAGGAAGAUAAAUCUGUAACAGGAAAAAGAAAUCUACAUACUUUGAGAAGAUAUAUUUCUCCUCUAUAUUCAUAUUUGUUUCAUUACAUACCAUUUCUUGAGGUUUUACAUUGUCAGUUGCUCCUUUUUGUUUUUUCCCCACAGAUGUUCACAGAUGUUUUGCCUUUUCCAGAGCGUCAUAUAGUUGGAAUCAUACAGUGUAGACAUUACUUCUUAAUGAAAGUUUAUCUAGCCUUUAUUAUAUAUGCCACUGUUUUAAGUGCUUUACAAAUGGUAAUUAAUUUAAUCCUCAUAAUAGCCUAUUGAAUACCUCUAUGGUACCCAUUUUUUCAGGUGAGAAAACUGAGGCACAGAAAAGAAAGUUUGC
rnacentral:lncRNA from 1 species